rnacentral:lncRNA from 1 species
UCACUUGUUAACCUCAGAAAGGAUUGAUCCGGGAAAUAGAGAUCAAUCGGAGUUUAGAAGAGAAAGAGUAGAAAAUAGGAAAGAGAGUGUUUUGAUGUCGAGGACUAACAUAGCCUUCUUUAAUUACGGUGAUCACAAGAUAAGGAUUACAAUGGAUAAUGAAAUGCUUAAAUAUUCUAAACACACGUGAGUGACAUAUCACUCAAUUAUUAAUUACAUAAAGAAAUACUCCUGCUGAAGAAUAGUCUGUACUACUUCACUCCUCAUCUUCAAGUCCCUUGCUCUCUUCUUCAUCAUUACCAAUGGAACUCUAAGCUUACCAUCUCUCCUCCCAAUAGCGAGAAACUCUCUCUCCAUCUUCUCCUUCUUCUUCUUCUUAAUCUCUUUUUCAUCUUCUUUGUUUUCUUUGUCUUCCUUUCUUCUUAUUGUUCUUCUUCCAGUUCUUUCUGAUUAAUGCUACUAAUCAUAAAACCACCGUGAUCCUGAUUGUUGAUGUACAUAUUCAGUUCCGAAAUCCAUUUCUCAUGUAGUCUCCUUACCAGUUUGAUAGUUACCGUGAAUCGUUUUGGCUUAUUGCAGAAAUAAAAUGGCUGACGAGUGUGAAUUUCAAUGGAGAACCAGCGAGCGAUUUACUUUUAGCAACAUGGUAUGCGUCUGAAAUCAUCUAGAGUUUUCUUCUAUCGAUUCUUAAUCGUGCCUGCCAACAUUGAUUUAGAUGGGAUACUGAUGCGAAAGAUCUGUUUAAAACAUAGAAUUUGAGUAAUCGGCUUCCAGAACGUUUGUGAUACUUUGAUUAUUUCAAGCUAUUCUAGAAAUUAAAGACCUUUGGUGUCUAUUUUAGUGGAUUGUUAAGCUCUUAGGCUACCGCAAACCAGAAAAAAAAAUCACAUUAAUUCAUACCUUGAAAAACAAAAAAAAAAGAGCAAAAGCCAAAGAAGACAUUUAAUAAUACUAGGUAUUUGGCAUGCCCCUUGCACGGACAAAAAGAUUUCAUUAAUUAAACACAUUAUAGGUAGAUUAUAAAAUUAAUUAUUAAUAAUAAAUAAAAAAUAUAAAAAAAAUGUGAAACAUAUGUUCAACAAACAAAAAAACAUAAAAAAUAAUAAUAUCUAUCAAUAUAAACUAACGAAAACCAAUUAUUGUAUCAAAACUACAAAGAUGAUUAAAAUAAGACAAAUGACCGAUUUAAAAAAUAUCCUAAAACAUUUUUUAUAUACAACAUUGAUAAUCUUCUACUGUGACUUUCCUUUUAGAUUUAUAAUUAAAAAUCUUGAGUUCUUUUUUCAAUAUAACCCUUAAUUCUUCGUUCUCCCUAGCCAGAAAUCUUUUUCAGUUCUAUGGGUAUUGUUUUUAUUGGUUCUUAUCUGAUAACACCGUAUUUUGAACAAUUUUAUGGAUGAUUCUAAGAUUUUAUUCAGGUUUUUUAACUUAGUAUUCAAUGGUUUUCAAGUGAUUUCUAUGUUUUAGAGUUUCAAAAGAGUUUUCAGGAUAUUUGGACAAAAAGAAUGCAAUUGGAACAAAAAUACAACUUUGGAUAAAUUAGGCAGUCAGAAAUUUGGUAACAAAUGGAGACUUUCCCACCGUCUGAUCAUCCCCAAAUUUGGACAAAAGAUAUAGCAGAAAACUAGCUUUCCAAUGCAAUUAGAAUCGAAGCAAUCCAACCGUUGGAUCUCCAGAUAUGGUCAAUGCACAGAAGACAAAUCAACACAGUCGGAAGCUGACCCGUGCCCAAAGCAUAAUACACCGUGGCUGCGACAUUAUAGACCGCUGGGAGCCUAUUUCCGAGCCUUAGAAACCCAUUUUAAAGCCUAGGUCAUUCCUGUCAUUAUUCCUGAAAACCCUAGACAUUCCUGAAGACUCAAGAAACUAUAUAUACCUCUUUUAAAUCAUUUAGAAGGUGUGCCAUUUUUUGUCAAGAGUCCUAGAGAGAGCUGUUACCCGUGAAGAGGAUCCACCAAGAGGGGCACCAUUGGCCCUCCUUCAGCCUGUUCUUCGUUUCUGACCUUUGUUUUAUUUUAGUUCUCUACGUUUUAAAGACACCACCAAAAUCCCUACAAAAAUCGCAUGGUUCUAAACUUCCUUACUUCACAUUUCUUUCGAAGGCUUUUACAGGAAAAGAUUCUCCUUCUCUUUGGAUUCGAUCCCUAAGUAUUACAAUCGAUCAGCUGUGCACUUGCGGCUAUUAAUUCCAUUUAGGGUAAAACUAAAAAACUGAAUGUCAGGUCGCUUGAGAGUCAAGUACUGCAGUUUACCUGUAAUGCUUUGGAAGUAUGUUGACUCAGAGAUUAACUCUGUGUUGCAGAACGCUUCAUCGAGUCAUAUUGGAAGUGGUGUCGGCAUUGGUUUUGCGCUGGCCAUGCCUGCUUCUUCCAAAAUUUUGUCUGCAUAUGUUAACUUGUUGAGAAAGAGUCCAUCAGGAUGAUCUUUAAUUGGAAUACCAAGGAAAUAUGUAGGAGCUCCUAGAUUCUUCAUAGAGAACUUGGUGCUGAGUUCUCGGAUCAGAAUGUUAACAAGGUCCGGUGAGCUACCUGUCAGAAGAACAUCAUCAACAUAGAGCAACAGGUAUAAAGUAUGCCCUCUACACUGAAAUAUGAAGAGAGAAGGAUCAACAUUGCUACAAGUAAAACCAAAUUCAAGAAGAAAAAUUGUGAACUUGUUGAAACAGGCCCUUGGUGCUUGUUUAAGUCCAUGACGAGUCUUGUGUAAUUUGCACACAUGGUUAGAAUAACCAGGGUUAACAAAUCCUGGAGUUUGCUCCAUAAAAACCUUUUCGUGAAUCUCUCCAUGGAGGAAGACAUUUUUCACAUCAAGAUGGGUUAUCGACCAUUCUUUUGCAACUACAACACCAGGAACUAUUCUUAUGGUAGAGGUUCUCACCACAGGACUAAAGGUUUUCACAUAAUCAACUCCUUUUUAUAGCAAAUCCCUUGGCAAUCAGGUGAGCUUUGCGUUUGUCAACACUCCUGUCUGCUUUUUGUUUUCCUGUAAAGAUCCACCCACAACCAAGGACAUGCAUAUCUGGAUGAAAGGGAACAAGAGACCAUGUACUGUUUUGAUCUUGAGCAGCCAUUUCCUCAUUGCAUGCAUCAGUCCAUCCAUCAUGUUUUAGAGCUUUCUUGAUAGUCUUAGGAUGGCAAGAAUAUCAGUUCUCGUAAACAGAAUAUAUCUGUGGUUCUGUUUGCGGAUUCCACUCUGCAGGAGAGUCCUCAUGGGGUGAGUGCGAGAAACCGCAGGAUUUUUGAUGAACAACUUUAUCUGGAACCACCUCUGAGAGACGUUUUCCAUCUUCAUUGUAGUAUUCACCAGCCUCAGUACAAUGUUGGUCUUCUGCAUUAGAAGAGCUGUCAUGAUCACUAACCAUGCCAAUGUUGAUCUUUGGUACGUAGAGCAGAAGGGAUGUUUGGUAGGAGUGUUGGUGGAGGCAGAGAUAGUUGCCAAGCUUUGAGCAGAAGAGUGGAGUAUGGAUCCACAAAAUCCUUAUACCUAUCUGUAAACUGAAAUACAUCUUCAUCAAAAAUAACAUGUUGCCAGUAUGUGGAUAUAAGCAUCAGUAUCCUUUGUAGUGAGAAUGAUAGCCAAGGAAUAUGCAUUGAAGAGACCGAGAAUCAAACUUAUGUGUAGCAUAGGGUCGAAGACAUGGGUAGCAAGCUGAACCAAAGACACGUAGGAAUAAGUACUCUGGUUUUUGGCUGUGCAGAGCUACAAAUGAACUUGUAAACUGUGGAUAGGUUGCUGGAAGCAGAUUACUCACAAAUUUUGCAGUGUAAAAAGCUUCAACCAAAUACUUGAAAGGUGUCUUGCUCUGAAAUAUCAUGGCAAGAGCAAGUUCAGUCAGAUGGCGAUGCUUAUGUUCUGCAAGGCUGUUUUGUUGCGGUGUGUAAAGGCAUGAGAGUUGAUGGCUUAUCCCAUGAUCUACCAAGUUUUUUCUGAAAAUGUUGCUUGUAUACUCACCUCCCCCAUCACUUUGAAAUAUUUUGAGUUUCUUGUUAAGCUGAUUUCAACUUGUUUUUGGAAUGCAACAAACACUUUGUAGAAAUCAGACUUGGAUUUUAGUGGAAACAACUAUGAAUACCGAGAGAAAUUAUCCACAAAUAUAGCAUAAUAUUUGAAUCCCUGAAUAGAUAUAACAGGUGAUGGACCCUAGAGAUCUCAAUGCAUACAAUCUAGGGAUGCCAAUGCUCUAGAAAAAGAAGAAAAAACGGCAACUUAGAACUUUUUCCCAUCUGACAAGACUUACAAACAGUAGACGAUAUGUAUUUAUUACUAGAUAUCUCCUUUUAGGUCUUCAAAUGCUUAAGAAUUUGAAAGUUUGCAUGCCCUAGACGCCUGUGCCACACCAGGUCACUUGCAGUCACAUGUCGAUUGGAGUCGAAAGCAAUAAAUUCUGAGUUCUUCAUCACAUAAAGGUUAUCAUGUCUGGGUCCUUUGGUCACCAUUUUCUGAGUUGGUAAGUCAAUCACACAUACCCGGUUAGCUAAAAAAAAACACAGCAGGGAUAGUCAUCACAUAACUUCGAGAUUGAUAAUAGAGACUUUUGUAUUUGGGGACAAACCAAGACAUCAAGUAGAGGGAUACUACCUUGAGGAGUAGUGAUGAUCGUGGAGCCAACAUGGGUAAUCGGGAGCUGCUGACCAUUAUCAACAAGAACACUUUCUAGCCCAUGAUAUGGAGUGGUGUUCUGAAGAGAUGUAGCUGAAGCAGUGAUGUGAGCUGUUGCACCUGAGUCGGGGUACCACUCCUGUCUCGUAGUAUCAUACACCUGAAGAACAGCAAGAGCCUGUGGAACAUCAUGACUCUGAUAGGCAUGGUCAAAGCAGUUCCAGCAUUUGAGAGCAGAGUGACCAACAUGGCCACAGAUUUGGCACACAUGACGAGAGGUAUUCUCUCGGUUUGACUGAGAUGGCUUCCAGCCUGAGGUAUUCACCAGUUCCGAGAAUCCUCUGCCUCUAUUGCCACGGCCUCUCUGACUAGUGUUGUCGUUGCAUUGAGUCUGAAAGACCGAGAAUGGAGUUAUAUCUGCAGGAGUCUCAUAGGAAUUCAGGUGGACAUUGAAUACAGAGAUUUCAGAAACCACGUCUCCAAAAUUGGGUAUUGGAAAACAUGACAUGGAGCUUUGAACGGCGGUGGAGGUAAGGUUAUAUUCCCGAGUUAACCUGUUGAGAAAAGUAAAGAUCUUCAAAGAUUCGUCAACAGGUUUGCCAAUAGAACUGAGCUGAUCACAGAUAGCUCGAAACUCAUGCACAUAGAUCUGAAACUCCUUGUCACAGGUGGAGAGAAGUUGGAGACGACGUCGGAGGUCGAACUCACGGACCACCGAACUUUUGUUGAAGUUAUCAGCUAGAGAGAGCCACACAUCGUGAGAUGUGGCUAAAUCAUGGACAUAAUCAAGGACUUUGUCAAACAGAGUACCAAAAAUCCAGGACUUGAUGAGCUCGUCAGCACAAAGCCAAGCUUCAUACGCCGGAUUUGGGGAGACAAUGGCUUCGUUUCUGAUAUUGACAGUGACAGUGGCUGCCGGAAUGGUCACUUGACCGUUGACAAAUCCAAGCAGCCUCUGGGUACGGAUAAGAGACUUGAACUGGAUUUUCCAGAGAAGAUAGUUGAUGUCAUUUAGCUUCUGAGUAACAGAGCUUGUAACAUGACUACUCGAAGGAAAAUGGUAAGGAUCUUGAGCUUCUGCCAUGACAUCGACCGGUUAGGGUUUAGAAGGGCUCUGAUACCAUAAUAGAAAGAGAAAGAGAGAUUGUAAAGUUUGAUAACACUCGAAAGUUUAACAUUCAUCAAACAACUCUUACAACUUAUAUAGAGCCUUAGCUCAGAUCAUUCUAGAAACCCUAAAAACAUGGUUCAAUUACAGCCACUAGUUACAAGUUAACAAUGGUUUGAAUUUGUUGAGAAGGACCACUUCUCCAGCUGGCUUCUGCAUCUUCAUGACCGUACUCUGUUCUUGUCGCAGAGACACUCCACUUUGUUGACUGUGUAUUGGACUUUUUCAGGUUGGUUUCUUCUGGCCCAAUAAUCCUUUUUAGCUUGUGUCUUCUUUCUGGCUCAUCUGAUGUUUGAACAGAGUAUGUUGACUUUCAUCAACUUCUCCUUUUUGUACAAAGUUUCUGAUCAGAAUCAAAAUCAAAGAACUCAAUUUCAUUGAUUUUUUUUUGUUACUUUGAAUCUCCAAUCAGAUUUGAAACCAUUCAUCAGUAUCAACAGUGUGAUAUCGUUCCUUACUCCGAAAGCUCUUUUCUCAAGUAACCCCGAAAGCUCCUUUCUCAAAUGACUCCAAAAGCUCCUUUCUCGUUCUCGGUUUGUAAGAUAUUUUACUCUAAUCCUUCAUCAGUAUUUCUUAAAUUUUGUUGUGCGUAUGAUGAAACAGCUUGUUUUCUAUUAGUAUCCAAAAUUUUAAAAAAAAAUUAGAUGAUUGAUUUUUUAAUACUUAAAAGUUUCUAAAUGUAUUGUGCUAUUGUCUUCAAUAUUAUCAUCAACAUUAACAUUAGUAGCUAUAAUUUAUUAUAAUUUUUGGUACUACUAAAUGUAUAUAUUUUUACAUUGAUAAUUCAGUCUAUAAUGAACAAAUAUUCUACAGUUAAUAACUAUUAUAUAUUAUAAUUGCGAAUGUGACUGUUAAGAUUGUGUACACAAUUAUACAAAUAGAUUUGUUAAAAUUUCUAAAUAUGAUAUCAUUUUGAAAAAAAAAUUUAAAAAUAUGAACGAAAACAAUUUUUCUCUAUAAAAUAAUAUAUAGAUAAAUAAAUAUCACGAUAAAUUAAUAAAAUAUUAUAAUCCUGACAUUAUUGAUUUAUAGAAGUUUUAUUGUAUGUAUUUAUAAAUUAGUUUGACACAUAAAUUAGUUUGAAAAAAUAUUCUACAGUUAAUAACUAUUAUAUAUUAUAAUUGCGAAUGUGACUGUUAAGAUUGUGUACACAAUUAUACAAAUAGAUUUGUUAAAAUUUCUAAAUAUGAUAUCAUUUGAAAAAAAAAUUUAAAAAUAUGAACGAAAACAAUUUUUCUCUAUAAAAUAAUAUGUAGAUAAAUAAAUAUCACGAUAAAUUAAUAAAAUAUUAUAAUUCUGACAUUAUUAAUUUAUAGAAGUUUUAUUGUAUGUAUUUAUAAUCUUAUCUUAUACAGAUGAGUGCGCUCAAUAUGAGUUAGACACAUAUAUAGGAUAACUAUGACUUAUGAGAUCAUGACAUGUGUUAUCGUUAAUAUACAUUGUAACAUAUAUCAAUAUAAUAAUAUAAAAUUUUCAUUUUUGAUUAUUUACUUUAAAAAAGGAUAAAAUAAAAUAUAUUUUUAAAAGGUAAAUUAUUAAACAAAAAGGUAAAGUAAGUUAAAAAAAAACAGAAAUUAUGUUUUUUGAACCUUGUUAAAUUAAAAAAAAAAAUUGAGAAAUACCAGUAACCAAUCAAAAAGUUAUUUAAAAAUACUAUUAUUUUAAUAACAUAUUUACCUUUUCACUCUAAUUAGAGAUGUAAAAUUCACCUGAAGAGGCAGAAGAUUAUGCAGUUUUGCAUCUCACCGAAGUUUUGAUUUUGUUGCAAAUAUCGAAUGAAUUUGUUAAGUCCGCCGGAAAUUGGAUCUGAUUGCUUUUUCGGUCGGAUAGUCUCUUUUUGCUCUCUUUCUCUUCUUCUAUUUCGCUAUGAUUAUGACUAUGACUAUCUGUGUACACCGUAACCGACUGAGAUGGAAGAACAAUGUUAAGGUUGACAAUAGAUAUCGAAUCACCGUCACUAAAAUAGCUCAAUAUCAAAUCUGUAAAACAGUCUCUUGAUCAUCGUUUAAAAUAUAGUUUUAAAACCAAGUGAACUUUGUGAUUUUGUUAUGUUUCUUUGGUCAUAUUAGUGGAGAUUAUGUUAUUAGAAUAAUUUUUUAUCAGAUCUAUGUAUAAUUUUGAGUAAUUCUAAGUUUUUAAUUGUGAAUUAUAAAACAUAAGAUGUAAAUAAUUUAACGAGAUCUAAAUUUAUAUUAUAAUUAUACAGAGCUAGUAAUCAAUUUGAAAGUCUAAAUACAUUUUCCCCCGCAUAAUCCCAUAUUUCAUCGUUUCCCCAAUUAAUUUAAUCACACAAAUAAAUUCACUUCUAUAUUUAUCAAUAUGCAGAUUUCAUCAUAUUUUGCAGCUUUUAUUUAAUUAGGUGAAAACUCGCACGUAACGUGCAACCUUUUUUUUAACUAUUUUAAAUUUAUAUAUUUUGUAUUUUCUUAAACAAAUAUAAUCAUAUUAUGUAUCAGUAUAUUAUUAUAAAUUAAUGGGAAACCGACGUAUUUCUCCCUCAGAAGUAUGAUAUAGUAACAGAUCUACCAAAACUUUCAACCUCGUCUUAGAUCCCUUUAUUUUAAAAGUUAAUAACGUAUAUCCCCCUAAUCGUAAAAUUUAAAACAUAUUUACCCACUAAAUAAAAGUUUGAAACUAAAAACUAUCUAAACCACAAUUUUAUUCGGUUUACUGUUAACAGAAAAAAAUUAACCACUUAAAACCAAACAUAAAUUCGAUGAAAAUUGAUAAACCAAAUUAUGACCGGAUUCAAACAAGUAAACCGAAAUGAAACCAACCUAAAAACUAAACCCAAAAAUCCCCAAAGUAAACCCAAAUCCCUAAUUCAAAUAUCUAAAAGAAUUUUCUACUUCUUAAUCCAAACCUCAAAUAUGGAAUCUCACUCUUUGUCGUUUCCGCAGGAACGUUUCCUGCGUGCCCGUUAAAUUGUUUGAACCAAUUUCUGUUUCGUGAAUUAAGACUCCAUCUCCAACAUCAUUUUGAAAUAUAUUUCGCAGCUUUUGCUUCAUCCCUUGAGAAUUUUGUGUUUCUUAUUCAAGUUAUUGUAUAUGUAUGAAGGAAAGAUGUUUAAACACUAUUGUAAGAACUGGGUUUAAAGUGCGAAGAACAAGUUUUGCAUUUCUCAAACAUACUCAAACAAAAUUAAUACAAUUUUGACUCUAAUCAAAGGCUCUCUAUACACAACAAACGUAACUCAAUAUCAUAGAAGAGAAGAAUUUUUUUUUUUUUUUGCUUUCAACUACCCAAUUUGAAAACAUCAACAAAGAUACCAAAAAAAACAGCAGCUUUCCAGAAGUUUUUUUUUUUUUUCGACGCUUUCCAGAAGUUUAUAAACACAACAAAAGACUGUAACUUCCCAGACAACAUUGAAUAAGAUGGCAUCUAUAAGCAUACUGAUUCCUUCAACGAGGUCUCACCACCACGAAUCGUCGUCGCUGCAGUCAGCAGCUGAAGCUUUAGGGAGCGAAGGGGAAUAUCGGACGGUCGUAGUAAGCCUUCUGCGAGUGACUUUUCGGCAAACGUGAAGAGAAAUUUUAGAGCAAAGGGGAAGAUCGACGCCAAUCUAACGCAGUUUAAUGGAAGAGCCAUGUGAGAGAAAGAAAGAGACAGAGGGCCUGUGAGUUGGAGAAAUAGAGACUGUUAAUUUUUUCCUUUCUUUCGUGGUGGAGUCAGGCGUGAAGCAAUCUGGGAGCUUGAUUUUAGGUAUGUGAUUGAAUCCUGUUUCUCUAGUCAUGAUUGAUUGGGGAAAUCUAUGCUGCGAUGGGGGUCCUGCUGCGAUUAAUGAUUACGGGUGAAGAAGAAGAAGAAUAAUGGGUCAGGUUUGAUGUCGACUCGGGUCAGGUUUGGGGAUCAAAAUUUAAUUUGGGCCGGUUUUUAAUUCGAUUUGAUAUCGGUAGAAUGGUUUUAUAUCUGGUUAAAUAUUUUAACCAUUUAAACCAUAAAUAUGUUUUAAACUUUCUAAUUAGGUAGAAAUAGGUUUUUAACUUUCAAAAU